GAUGAACGCUAGCGGCAGGCCUAAUACAUGCAAGUCGAACGCUCAGUAGCAAUACUGGGAGUGGCGCACGGGUGCGUAACGCGUACACAAUCUACCUCUAAGCGGGGACACCUCCUGGAACGGGGAUUAAUACCGCAUAAUAUGCCGAAGUCGCAUGACUUUGGUAUUAAAGCAGCAAUGCACUUAGAGAUGAGUGUGCGUCCCAUUAGGUAGUUGGUGAGGUAACGGCUCACCAAGCCUAUGAUGGGUAGCCGGUCUGAGAGGAUGGGUCGGCCACACGGGCACUGAGACACGGGCCCGACUCCUACGGGAGGCAGCAGUAAGGAAUAUUGGUCAAUGGUGGAAACACUGAACCAGCCAUGCCGCGUGGAGGAAUAAGGU
rnacentral:rRNA from 1 species